CAGACUUUUCUGCGUUUUCAGUUGUUCCAGGCUCUAGUCACAUCUCAGUUAUGUGCAAUAAUAGUCAUUGUGGAGUUGCUGCAAAUCAAAAUUUCCCAGGUAAUACCAAGUCUCAUUUAACUUCCAGAGCCAUCCAUCACCAAACAUUUUAUUGGAGAACCAAAAAGGGUGGAGUAGGGGAGCUGAGUGAAUUUCUGAGUCUGCUGGAGUUGAUAACUGUAAGUGUCAUGGCCCCAGUAUUACUAGCCAUAGAUAGAGAUAAUUUAAAAAAUCAUCCCUGUAACCCUAGGUACUGAUUAUCUAUUGCUACAUAGCAAGCCGCCUUGAAACACAUGGCUUAAAAUAACAAUUUAUUUUUAUAUCUCACAGUUCUGUGGCUUAACUGGUCUCAGCUUGGCAUCUCUCUUGUAGUUGAAGUCAAAUAGAGGCUAGGGCUACAUUCGUCUAAAGGUUCAGUUGAGUUGGAAUGUGGCAUGGCUGGCAGUUGAUGAUGACUGUUUCCUAGGAGUUCUGCUGGAGCUACAUGCCUGAACACCAACCAAUAACCUUUUCAUGUGGCUGAGACCUUUCAUAUGGCCACAGUCCUCAGAGACAGCAUCCCAAGAGUGAUCCUUUUAAGAGGCUCAGGUAGAAAUUGCAAGGUGUUUUUACAGUCUUUUCAGAGGUUGGAGUGUCACUUCUGUCAUAUUCUGCUGGUUCAACAAGCCAGUAAAGCCAAGCCCAGAGUAAGGUGCAAGGCUAGUCUAGCCUGCUGGACAAUGAGAGGCCUACGGAACAGGGCGGAGUCACCAUAUCCCACUGAAACUGGCCUAGGUUAGCCAACAGCCCACCUCUCCCAGGCACGUGAAAGCUCAGCGGACUCUGAACAGAUGGACAAUAAACAUUUACUGUGUUUGCCACAUAAGUUUUGUAUUUGUCAUUAUAAAGCAUUAUUGUGACAAUAGAGAAACUAACAUACUUUCUAAAGUGGAAUUUGAUCAUGUUGCUUAAAAAACUGUGACCGUCCAUACUAACUGCUCACCAAAUAGCCAUUAUGCCUUUUCUUUUUUCUCCUUAUAACAGAACUUGAUUUUGAUGGGGACAAAUUUU
rnacentral:lncRNA from 10 species